ACGCUCGACACCUACGGGAGCAGCAGUGGGGAAUAUUGGGCAAUGGGCGCAAGCCUGACCCAGCAACGCCGCGUGAAGGAAGAAGGCUUUCGGGUUGUAAACUUCUUUUCUCAGGGACGAAGGAAGUGACGGUACCUGAGGAACAAGCCACGGCUAACUACGUGCCAACAGCCGCGGUAAUCUGAGCGGGCUGGCAAGGC
rnacentral:rRNA from 1 species